rnacentral:lncRNA from 1 species
CCGAGCUCGUUCUCCCUCCUCCGGCCACCAAUCGACGAGAUUCUUCUUCCUAUCUCUUCGCCUCACUCCCAUGUAGCACCCUGUGAAGUUUCACUAUGUGGGUAGACCUGUGCACGACGCUACAAGGCCGAGAAGUCACACGGUGGAGCUGCAAAUCGCCUUGAUCGGAGUCGGAGAUUCCGGCCACCUUUGCCGGUGUUUCUUGAGGGCUUUUGAAGCCCAUAGGACGUUGAUGCUUCUCCCAAAGCGGCUUGGGACGAUUUCACUCGUGGAGGUCG